CUUGCACUCCGCGCUGCUCCAUUCACCUGCGUGGCGCACGGAGCCCCUGGGAACAAACCGGCUCCGGAGCUUCGGCGUUCAUUUAUCACUUUAAAGCAGCGGGGUGUGUGGAGAGGCUCACAUGAGACUGGGAGGGGAGAUUGCGGUGUCGGAUACAAAAACGUUUGCCACACCGCGACGUCGCAUCUCUUUCCGGCUGAGUGGCGAGUGACUGGUGGACGUUGAGGACUCAUCCAUCACAGCUACAGCUGCACAGCCCCCACAGCGCGAGGCCAGGCCAGGAGCACAGCUGGCCAGACUUGGUGGAGCCAGUCGACAGGCGCAUGGAGCGCAGCCCGCCC
ensembl:lncRNA